rnacentral:rRNA from 1 species
GACGUAGGGCGCGAGCGUUGUCCGGAGUUAUUGGGCGUAAAGAGCUCGUAGGCGGCUUGUCGCGUCGUGUGUGAAAUCUCAGGGCUCAACUCUGACAUUGCAUACGAUACGGGCAGGCUUGAGUUCGGUAGGGGAGACUGGAAUUCCUGGUGUAGCGGUGAAAUGCGCAGAUAUCAGGAGGAACACCGGUGGCGAAGGCGGGUCUCUGGGCCGAUACUGACGCUGAGGAGCGAAAGCGUGGGGAGCGAACAGG